rnacentral:rRNA from 1 species
AUGCAUGUCCGGUUUAAUGAGGCAUGGCAUGGCAAUAUGCACAAACAACACUACAAAUUAAGUGGAGCUCAAUAUGCAACGAGUUGCAUAUUGACGAAACACCACAUGACUUAUUUAGUUCUCUUCUGUUUAUGUACCCAACAACAUUAA